rnacentral:sRNA from 2 species
CGCGCCGUCCUAGGGGAGUAGUCUCUGGCCAUCAGCGCCAGGCGUCCGUCAACAUACUUGGUCCUCGACCAUGGCGUUCGCGACCUGCGGGUUUGACAAGACCUAUGACAUGCAGCCUUUACCCGGGGUGGGAAGGCAUGCAUGUC